rnacentral:pre_miRNA from 1 species
ACCACAUUCAGACGUCGGUCUACCGAGCAAAUAUCACCCGCUCAACGGAAGAUCUUCCCUUUGUCCG